rnacentral:rRNA from 1 species
UACGUAGGGUGCGAGCGUUGUCCGGAGUUACUGGGCGUAAAGCGCGCGCAGGCGGCCGCCCCGCGCCCCGCCCGUGAAAAGCCCCCCCGGCUCAACCCGGGGGAGGGUCACGCGAUACUGAUCGACUCGAAGGCAGGAGAGGGAAGUGGAAUUCCCGGUGUAGUGGUGAAAUGCGUAGAUAUCGGGAGGAACACCAGUGGCGAAGGCGACUUCCUGGCCUGUUCUUGACGCUGAGGCGCGAAAGCUAGGGGAGCAAACGGG